AGCGCAGGCGGUUUUUUAAGUCUGAUAUGAAAGCCCUUGGCUCAACCAAGGAAGUGCAUCGGAAACUGGAGAACUUGAGUGCAGAAGAGGACAGUGGAACUCCAUGUGUAGCGGUGAAAUGCGUAGAUAUAUGGAAGAACACCAGUGGCGAAGGCGGCUGUCUGGUCUGUAACUGACGCUGAGGCUCGAAAGCAUGGGUAGCGAACA
rnacentral:rRNA from 1 species